GACGAACGCUGGCGGCGUGCCUAAUACAUGCAAGUCGAACGCAUUUUCUUUCACCGUAGCUUGCUACACCGAAAGAAAAUGAGUGGCGAACGGGUGAGUAACACGUGGGUAACUUGCCCAUCAGCGGGGGAUAACACUUGGAAAUAGGUGCUAAUACCGCAUAAUUCCAUUUACUGCAUGGUAGAUGGCUGAAAGGCGUUUUUGCGUCACUGAUGGAUGGACCCGCGGUGCAUUAGCUAGUUGGUGGGGUAACGGCCUACCAAGGCUGCGAUGCAUAGCCGAGCUGGGAGGGUGGUCGGCCACACUGGGACUGAGACACGGCCCAGACUCCUACGGGGGGCAGCAGUAGGGAAUCAUCGGCAAUGGACGGAAGGCUGACCGAGCAACGCCGCGUGAGGGAAGAAGGGUUUCGGAUCGUAAAACUCUGUUGUUAGAAAAGAACAAGGAGGAGGGUGGAAAGUUCAUCCCUUGACGGUAUCUAACCAGAAAGCCACGGCUAACUACGUG
rnacentral:rRNA from 1 species